UAUCUUUUAAAAAAAAGCUUCAAAAUUCAAGGAUGAUCCUCACUACCAAAGACCUGGAAUAACACCAUGUAACGAAAUGAUGGGAAAUCUUAAAAAUAAAUAAAUAAAGAAGAAGAAGAUUAGGCAUACAAUGUACAAAAGUUCUCAUCUUUAUCUCUAAAGAUUGGGGUCGUAACCAUCCAACCAUAAAUCAUAAAUUCAAAGAACAGUCACAGCUCAUACUCCACAAGCAACGAUUGAUCAAAUUCAAUACUGGAAAAGACAAUCAUUUCUUCAUGCCAAACAUUGUUCAAAGAAGAGGACCAGACAAUAGUUAUUUUCAUAUAGGAGUCAUCACAAAGAUUACAAUAAAUAUUGUCCAAAACAAAAUUUAAGCAGAUAAAUUUAUCCCAUCUUAUAGCACAAGCUUUAGAUAAGUUGACUUGUAUUACAGAGGAAGCAAAACAAUCCUGAAUUUUAGAUCUCAAUGUGACCUAUUUUAUGAAAAUUGGGCACCUGUGAGGCGUUUGAUGAAAAGAUGAAUCGUCUAUAUGUGCUAGAUCGUGUUAAAUAUAACGUUGAAGUAACAAACCUGUUUGUGGCAUUUUAAGCUUUUAGAUGUGAUGACUCAAUAUAUCCUCCAUUUCAUUGUAAAAUUGUAGCAGCACAUACAUUGACAAAAUUGAAUAAAUGAGAAAUCCCAGUUUCACGAGGCAUCCUGGUAACUUUUGUGAAUGGCGAAAAAUCUACAUUUUUGCCACUAGUAAGAAGAUACUGAACUUACAGGGGCGUGAAUAUGUCCAAAGUAUUCAAUUGCUUAAUAAAGUUUAAAAAGCUUCACGUUUUAUAAAGCGCAUUUUGGUGUUCAAGCUACAACUUUAGUGGCACUUGAAUCUUAGGACUCGGGUCGUCAAACUUAGUGUUAGAAAUGCUUAACACAUGGAAUGAAGCAAUUUCCUAAUGAACUUUAUUGUAGUAAAAAUAAGUUUCUCGAUUUGCAAUUGUGGUAUGAAUAGAGUUCACCUUUACAUGCUAUAACAAGUGGCGAGGAACUCUACUCUGACAGUUAAGUUAGUAAAUCGAUUAUGAAGAUUCUGUUAAAAGCAUCUGGACUUGGACAUUGCAUUAAAGAGGUCAUCAUCACUUUUCUCCAAGACUGAAUCCCUAACGACAUUGGCAAGUCAAUUUCCUCUUCUACGCUUGUCCAACGAAGCCAAAAAAGGGGUGUUGAUCCUUGAACAACUAAAACAUAAUUUGACUCUAUCACCUCAAGAAGGGCCUCUUUUGAUAUAGUGACUAGUACUCCAGUAGACUAUUUCUAUGUCAUCGUUGCUUGCUUAUUGGGGGAUAUUGAGCAUUCUAGCACUGACUUUGCUUCGACUCUCUCUCUCUCUCUCUUUCUCUCUUUGCAUUUUUGGACGAUUCAAAGGGCUUAUGGAAGUACUAUUCAAGAUGCUUGGCUCAUAUGAGUUGUUCCACCACAUCCUUCAUAUGGACAGUUAUCUUGGCAACGUUCAUAUCCUUUAUGAAAACAAAAAUAAUAUCAUGUUCCUAACUGCCUGUCCUUAAGAAGUCUUGGCCUAACUGUCCAAGGGAUUAUAUCUUUCUUCUCUAUGAGCAAAACUUUGAUGAAAUCCACUAACUUUGAGGUUAGCCAUUGGUCUCUUUCCAUGGCUCUUUGGAAGUUCUGUUUUCCCUUUCUUCCUACAGCCUUUUCAACCUCUUUUUUCUCACCUUCUUGCCUCUUCUACAUUGAUAUACAUUUUUGCCCUAGAAAGUGGCUUAAUAAGGUCUUCAGGGGUGAUUCAGUGAGCGGAUAAAUUUUUUUCCUGCUUUUUCAGCCCUCCAGAGACUGAUAUUCUAUCAUUAUAUAUGCAACAAGUAGAUUUUGGUGCUUAAGUCACUAAAUGGAGUACAAAAUAGAUCGUUUAAGUAUCCAGAUUAAGAAUUGUGUACAAGUAAAAAGUUUCAGCAUGUUGCAUUAAAGGGGUUAGAGUCCUCAAUUUACAGAUUUCUCUUCCAUCUAGGGUCCAUUUUCUAAUAAGAUGACAAUUAAUAAACUAUUCAGUAUUUGAUUAGGAGGUUAGGCAAUUUGAGUAAAGAGCAUUGUUUAGCUAAGCUUAAAAAGUUCACCUAUAAAAAAAGUAAAUAUGAAAACAAAUAAUUCUUUAUUAGUGAAAUUAAGUUACUUGUUUCAAAAGUAACACACUUGUUACUUUAGAAGUAACUUUGUUAACGUAAAAGCAAGAAAAUAGUAAGUUAAGCAAACAUGUUUUGAGACAAAAGGUUACUUAAAAAUUACUUUACUUUUCUUUUUAUCUUAGCCAAACAUGCUCUCAGCCUUGUAUACUCCUACUUCGUUGUGUUCCUUGAAUGGAUUAAGGGGCCAGAGGAGUGGGCUGGGCAUGGGCGGCAUCUCAAGAAAUGUCAUAAAUUGAUUCUUAAGAUUCAUGGACAUACUAAUAGUAUAGGCUUAGAACCAAGUGAUUAUAUGUAUGGGUGAUGGAUUACGUCCAUAAAAAAAUUUAUUAAUUAAAGACUGUAUCCCAAAGAAUGUCAAUAACUACAAAAGUGCAAACACCAUUCUAGUUUUUCAAUACAUUAUUACAAGCAUUUGGAUAGGAAUAUCUUAAAAUCAACUUGUAAUAAGGAAAUGAUGUGCAAUGUGCUUAUAAAGCCACAAGGUGGAUGUUCCACGAGCACUGUGGGAUUCAGAAGUGUUCCUUCUUAUUUACACCUCUUCCACAACAUCCCAUUUUUCUAUCUCAGAGAACUCCACAGAACUAGUGUAUUAUUGAAAGUAGGUCUCUCUCAGUCACAUCAUCCGCUACAUGUGUUUCUCAGAAAAGGGUUUCAUGCUCUGGUACCACAAUUAGAAGCACUUGUCCACGAGUGAUAUGUGAUCCAUAUUUAAUCGUUUCACCCAUAUAUUCAAAAUAAUUCAAGUGUGAAGGAUGCCAAUUUUACAACAUAAGCCUAUUUAACACAAGAACAUCACAUAACUAAUGCACCCAUGUGUACAAUAGCUAAUUUAGUGUAAGAAUCUCCAAUAUUGACGAACCAACAUAAGCAAACACAACGACAGACAAACACAUAUGCAUGUAACUUUGUAUGUAAAAUCACGUUUGUAUAUGCAUGUAGGGCUUACCAGGAGGAAAUAGCAGGUUUGGGAGAAAAUACAGUAAGGGCGAGGCACUUGUGUUGGGAUCGGAUCUGGUUAUCUCUGAGUUGCUCUACGAGUUUCGACCGGGUUAUCAUGUUCUUCUCUCAAUACGGAUUGGAAUCCUGUCCAAACUUUUAAUGCCACCACGAUUCGUAGGUCAAUUCCAAAUUGAACUGUGCUUAAUGUGGAAUAGAUAUUCGAAUUCCAGCUUCAAUUUGGCGAGUUUAUUUCGAAUUGAAUUGAGGGUUCACGGAAAAAGACUAUUGAGAUCAAUGAAAAUGCAUUGCCCAGGCUGUUGAAAUCACUACGCUGAAAUUGAAAGAGGGUAAAUCGGUUUAUAUAUAUAUAUNAGAUCAAUGAAAAUGCAUUGCCCAGGCUGUUGAAAUCACUACGCUGAAAUUGAAAGAGGGUAAAU
rnacentral:lncRNA from 1 species